GGGGGCCCCGCACAAGCGGUGGAGCAUGUGGUUUAAUUCGAUGAUACGCGAGGAACCUUACCUGGGCUCAAAUGUAUGUUGACGUAUUCUGAAAGGGAUACUUCUUCGGACAAUAUACAAGGUGCUGCAUGGUUGUCGUCAGCUCGUGCCGUGAGGUGUCGGGUUAAGUCCCAUAACGAGCGCAACCCCUAUCAUUAGUUGCCAUCAGGUCAAGCUGGGGACUCUAAUGAAACUGCCUACGCAAGUAGUGAGGAAGGUGGGGAUGACGUCAAAUCAGCACGGCCCUUACGUCCAGGGCUACACACGUGCUACAAUGGCCGGUACAAAGGGCAGCUACCUGGUGACAGGAUGCUAAUCUCAAAAGCCGGUCUCAGUUCGGAUUGCAGGCUGAAACUCGCCUACAUGAAGUUGGAGUUGCUAGUAAUCGCGAAUCAGAAUGUCGCGGUGAAUGCGUUCCCGGGUCUU
rnacentral:rRNA from 1 species